CGCGGCCUAUCAGCUUGUUGGUGAGGUAACGGCUCACCAAGGCAUCGACGGGUAGCUGGUCUGAGAGGACGAUCAGCCACACUGGGACUGAGACACGGCCCAGACUCCUACGGGAGGCAGCAGUAGGGAAUCUUGCGCAAUGGGCGAAAGCCUGACGCAGCAACGCCGCGUGGGGGAUGAAUGCCUUCGGGUUGUAAACCCCUUUCAGCAGGGACGAAAAUGACGGUACCUGCAGAAGAAGCUCCGGCCAACUACGUGCCAGCAGCCGCGGUAAUACGUAGGGAGCGAGCGUUGUCCGGAAUUAUUGGGCGUAAAGAGCUCGUAGGCGGUUCAGUAAGUCGGGUGUGAAAACUCAAGGCUCAACCUUGAGACGCCACUCGAUACUGCUGUGACUUGAGUCCGGUAGAGGAGUGUGGAAUUCCUGGUGUAGCGGUGAAAUGCGCAGAUAUCAGGAGGAACACCAGCGGCGAAGGCGGCACUCUGGACCGGUACUGACGCUGAGGAGCGAAAGCAUGGGGAGCAAACAGGAUUAGAUACCCUGGUAGUCCAUGCCGUAAACGUUGGGCACUAGGUAUGGGAUCAUAUCAACGGAUUCCGUGCCGUAGCUAACGCAUUAAGUGCCCCGCCUGGGGAGUACGG
rnacentral:rRNA from 1 species